rnacentral:tRNA from 1 species
GGAUAGCUCAAUGGUAGAGCAUCAGACUUCGGUCUGAAGACACUGGUUCAAAUCCAGUACCGCUCCU